rnacentral:rRNA from 1 species
AUUGAACGCUGGCGGCAGGCCUAACACAUGCAAGUCGAACGAGUGGCGGACGGGUGAGUAAUGUCUGGGAAACUGCCUGAUGGAGGGGGAUAACUACUGGAAACGGUAGCUAAUACCGCAUACCAUCGGAUGUGCCCAGAUGGGAUUAGCUAGUAGGUGGGGUAAAGGCUCACCUAGGCGACGAUCCCUAGCUGGUCUGAGAGGAUGACCAGCCACACUGGAACUGAGACACGGUCAAGACUCCUACUGGAGGCAGCAUGGGUGAAUAUUGCACAAGGGGCGCAAUCCUGAUGCAGCCAUGCCGCGUGUAUGAAGAAGUCUGUCGGGUUGUAAAGUACUUUCAGCGGGGAGGCUUUACCCGCAGAAGAAGCACCGGCUAACUCCGUGCCAGCAGCCGCGGUAAUUC